GACCAACGCUGGCGGCGUGCUUAACACAUGCAAGUCGAACGGAAAGGCCCUGCUUUUGUGGGGUGCUCGAGUGGCGAACGGGUGAGUAACACGUGAGUAACCUGCCCUUGACUUUGGGAUAACUUCAGGAAACUGGGGCUAAUACCGGAUAGGAGCUCCUGCUGCAUGGUGGGGGUUGGAAAGUUUGGGCGGUUGGGGAUGGACUCGCGGCUUAUCAGCUUGUUGGUGGGGUAGUGGCUUACCAAGGCUUUGACGGGUAGCCGGCCUGAGAGGGUGGCCGGCCACAUUGGAACUGAGAUACGGCCCAGACUCAUACGGGCGGCAGCAGUGGGGAAUAUUGCACAAUGGGCGGAAGCCUGAUGCAGCAACGCCGCGUGCGGGAUAACGGCAUUCGGGUUGUAAACCGCUUUCGCCUGUGACGAAGCGUGAGUGACGGUAAUGGGUAAAGAAGCACCGGCUAACUACGUG
rnacentral:rRNA from 1 species